AUUGAACGCUGGCGGCAUGCUUUACACAUGCAAGUCGAACGGCAGCGCGGGCUUCGGCCUGGCGGCGAGUGGCGAACGGGUGAGUAAUGCAUCGGAACGUGCCCAGUAGUGGGGGAUAGCCCGGCGAAAGCCGGAUUAAUACCGCAUACGACCUGAGGGUGAAAGCGGGGGACCGAAAGGCCUCGCGCUAUUGGAGCGGCCGAUGUCGGAUCAGCUAGUUGGUGGGGUAAAGGCUUACCAAGGCGACGAUCCGUAGCUGGUCUGAGAGGACGACCAGCCACACUGGGACUGAGACACGGCCCAGACUCCUACGGGAGGCAGCAGUGGGGAAUUUUGGACAAUGGGGGCAACCCUGAUCCAGCCAUGCCGCGUGCGGGAAGAAGGCCUUCGGGUUGUAAACCGCUUUUGUUCGGGAAGAAAUCCUCUGGGCUAAUACCCCGGGGGGAUGACGGUACCUGAAGAAUAAGCACCGGCUAACUACGUG
rnacentral:rRNA from 1 species